UUUUGUGGUUUAAUGGUCAUAGUUGUGCUUAAUAUGUGUUGUGAAUAUUAGCUCGAUCUAACGGUUGAAUUGAGGAUUAUUGAGGUUUAAGUGAGUCAAAGUCUCAAUAAGUAGAAUUUUAGGACUGGUAAGGAUUUUUAAGAUUUCUUGCAAUCUAUUAUUUGGAUUGAAGUAAAAUUUACGUGAAAGAAUAUAAGACUUUUUUUUCUAUGUAUAUGAGAAUUUUGAGAUCAAUUGAAUGGUGAAAAGGAGAGAUAUUGGCUCUGAGAGAAUAGCAUCAAGGUUGGAGAAGGAGGUUGGCCAAUACCCAAACACAUUUUUGAGGUUUUAUUUAGGAUUAAGAUUUGGUUAGGAUUUGGUUUAAGAUUAGGAUUUAAGAUUUGAUUAGGAUUUGAUUUAGGAUUUCGGGUUUGAUUAAGAUUUGAUUUAGGAUUAACGUUUAGUAAGGAUUUGAUUUAGGGUUUAGGAUUUGGUUUAAGAUUUAAGGUUUGGUUUAGGGUUUAAGGUUUGAUUAUGAUUUGAUCAGGAUUUGAUUUAGAAUUUAGGAUUUUAUUUUAGUUUAUUCAAGAUUUAAGAUUUAGUUAGUUUUUGGCCUAAAGUUUGAAUAAAGUCUAGUAAGAUUUCAACUAGGAUUAAAUUAAGAUUGAAUUGAGAUGUAUUUGAGAUAUAUUUGUAAACAUUCUAAUAUUUUUUUAAGAUUUUUUAUUGUUUCUUUGAAUUCCUUUGAGGUUUCUCUGAAU
rnacentral:lncRNA from 1 species